rnacentral:rRNA from 1 species
UACGUAGGGGGCUAGCGUUGUCCGGAUUUAUUGGGCGUAAAGAGCGUGUAGGCGGCCAGGUAGGUCUGCUGUGAAAACUCGAGGCUCAACCUCGAGAUGUCGGCGGAAACCAUCUGGCUAGAGUCCGGAAGAGGAGAGUGGAAUUCCUGGUGUAGCGGUGAAAUGCGCAGAUAUCAGGAAGAACACCCGUGGCGAAGGCGGCUCUCUGGGACGGUACUGACGCUGAGACGCGAAAGCGUGGGAGCGAACGGG